CUACUUAGCUGGCAGGAGAGAUACUGUGAUCAUGAAGGUGGUUUUCCCAGGGCAAGGCUUACUCAUUGCAACUGUUGUGCUGAUCCCUGCAAUUUCCCCAAAUGCGGCAAACCAGAGUGCAUAACUUGUUGUAGUAGACUGUAUUCACACUCUC
rnacentral:snRNA from 1 species